GACGAACGCUGGCGGCGUGCUUAACACAUGCAAGUCGAGCGGUAAGGCCCUUUCGGGGGUACACGAGCGGCGAACGGGUGAGUAACACGUGGGUGACCUGCCCUCAGCUCUGGGAUAAGCCUGGGAAACCGGGUCUAAUACUGGAUAUGACUCCAUGACGCAUGUUGUGGGGUGGAAAGCCUUGUGCGGCUGAGGAUGGGCCCGCGGCCUAUCAGCUUGUUGGUGGGGUGAGGCCUACCAAGGCGACGACGGGUAGCCGGCCUGAGAGGGCGACCGGCCACACUGGGACUGAGACACGGCCCAGACUCCUACGGGAGGCAGCAGUGGGGAAUCUUGCGCAAGUGGGCGAAAGCCUGACGCAGCGACGCCGCGUGAGGGAUGACGGCC
rnacentral:rRNA from 1 species